rnacentral:rRNA from 1 species
UUUGGAUUUGAUUCCUGGGUCCAGGACGAACGCGGGGGCCAUCCCUAAUACAUCCAAGUUCGAACCCCGAACCCUUUUGCUUGCAGAGUGCGGAGGAGUGGCGACGGGUGAGUAACACGUGGGAAAUUCUGCUUAGGAGUGGGGGGAUAACAUUCGGAAACGGAUGCUAAUACCGCAUAUCUUCAUAGACCGCAUGGUCUAUGAAUGAAAGACGGCUUUGCUGUCGCUUUUAGAUGAUCCCGCGGCGUAUUAGUUAGUUGGUGGGGUAAAGGCCUACCAAGACAAUGAUACGUAGCCGACCUGAGAGGGUGAUCGGCCACACUGGGACUGAGACACGGCCCAGACUCCCACGGGAGGCAGCAGUAGGGAAUCUUCCACAAUGGGUGCAAACCUGAUGGAGCAAUGCCGCGUGAAUGAAGAAGGUCUUCGGAUCGUAAAGUUCUGUUAUUAGUGAAGAACAAAUCGAGGAGUAACUGUCUCGAUUUUGACGGUAACUAACCAGAAAGUCACGGCUAACUACGUGCCAGCAGCCGCGGUAAUACGUAGGUGACAAGCGUUGUCCGGAAUUAUUGGGCGUAAAGGGAGCGCAGGCGGUUGGAAUAGUCUGAUGUGAAAGCCCACGGCUUAACCGUGGAAGGUCAUUGGAAACUGUCCAACUUGAAUGCAGAAGAGGUAAGUGGAAUUCCAUGUGUAGCGGUGAAAUGCGUAGAUAUAUGGAGGAACACCAGUGGCGAAGGCGACUUACUGGUCUGUGAUUGACGCUGAGGCUCGAAAGCGUGGGUAGCGAACAGGAUUAGAUACCCUGGUAGUCCACGCCGUAAACGAUGAGUGCUAAGUGUUGGAGGGUUUCCGCCCUUCAGUGCUGGAGUUAACGCAUUAAGCACUCCG